rnacentral:rRNA from 1 species
AACGAACGCUGGCGGCAUGCCUAAUACAUGCAAGUCGAACGAGAUCUUCGGAUCUAGUGGCGCACGGGUGCGUAACGCGUGGGAAUCUGCCCUUGGGUUCGGAAUAACUUCUGGAAACGGAAGCUAAUACCGGAUGAUGACGUAAGUCCAAAGAUUUAUCGCCCAAGGAUGAGCCCGCGUAGGAUUAGCUAGUUGGUGAGGUAAAGGCUCACCAAGGCGACGAUCCUUAGCUGGUCUGAGAGGAUGAUCAGCCACACUGGGACUGAGACGCGGCCCAGACUCCUACGGGAGGCAGCAGUAGGGAAUAUUGGACAAUGGGCGAAAGCCUGAUCCAGCAAUGCCGCGUGAGUGAUGAAGGCCUUAGGGUUGUAAAGCUCUUUUACCCGGGAUGAUAAUGACAGUACCGGGAGAAUAAGCUCCGGCUAACUCCGUGCCAGCCGCCGCGGUAAGAC